CGGACGGGUGAGUAACGCGUGGAUAACCUGCCGUAUACCGGGGGAGUAACACUUAGAAAUAGGUGCUAAUACCGCAUAAGCGCACGGCUCCGCAUGGGGCAGUGUGAAAAACUCCGGUGGUAUACGAUGGAUCCGCGUCUGAUUAGCUAGUUGGCGGGGUAACGGCCCACCAAGGCAGCGAUCAGUAGCCGGCCUGAGAGGGUGGACGGCCACAUUGGGACUGAGACACGGCCCAAACUCCUACGGAAGGCAGCAG
rnacentral:rRNA from 1 species